rnacentral:rRNA from 1 species
UACGUAGGGGGCAAGCGUUAUCCGGAUUUACUGGGUGUAAAGGGAGCGUAGGCGGCUUAGUAAGUCAGAAGUGAAAGCCCGCAGCUCAACUGCGGGACUGCUUUUGAAACUGCCAGGCUAGAGUGUCGGAGAGGUAAGUGGAAUUCCUAGUGUAGCGGUGAAAUGCGUAGAUAUCGAGAGGAACACUCGUGGCGAAGGCGGGUUCCUGGACAUUAACUGACGCUGAGGCACGAAGGCCAGGGGAGCGAAAGGG